rnacentral:rRNA from 1 species
CAGAUUGUAAGGAAUCGUACCCCAAACCGACACAGGUGGUCGGGUAGAGAAUACCAAGGCGCUUGAGAGAACUCGGGUGAAGGAACUAGGCAAAAUGGUACCGUAACUUCGGGAGAAGGUACGCUCUCGACGGUGAAGUCCCUCGCGGAUGGAGCUAUUGAGAGUCGCAGAUACCAGGUGGCUGCAACUGUUUAUUAAAA